GUCCAGUUUAUUUUGGAUUUCAAAGAGAUAUGUUCGUUACUUGAUAAUUUGAUAUUGUAUGAUUAAUUUCUUUUAUAUAUAGAAAACAAAAGCGCUUAACAAGGAGAAAAUUGCGAAUUACAAACAAAUAAGGGAUUGUUAUAGAUUGCGCAUUUGUGUGAAAUAUGUAAAUUGUGCAUUAUAUCCACAUACAUAUAUAUAUACAUACAUACAUGUGUAAAUGUAAACAAUUUAAAAUCUAAAUAGAAACGAAUUGUGCGGUUACAAUUAUAAAUGUGUAAUCGGGAAUAAAAUGGGUAUGGUCGGAUAGAGGAGGUUCCCCAGACCAAUAUUGAUGUUAAAUAAAUAUAACAAAUAAGUGUUUAAAAUAUUAUCUUAUAAUCUCGGUUGCGCUCCUCCAGUAGAACCAUCAAAAUUUGUGGUGCCGUCACCAUCGUUUGGCGGCCAUCCAGAUAUAAUCCAGAAGCAGGAUGCCAUUGAGAACCUUCUCACUGCCAUUGAAAAGGCCCUAAAAGACAAAAUGCCAGAAAAGGGCGAGGUGCAGGCACAGAGUAAAUUAUUGCGCGAAUGCCGCGUCAUAGCGGCAAAGAUGCACCAUUCAAUUAGCCGCAGGAGGACGAGCAUUACGUGGAGCUCGCUUCGAAACUGCCCAUGUCUUCGGAAGAUCACGUGCGCUUCGUGCAAAACAAACUUUCACAAAAGGAAAGCACGGAUGCUAUAAUGCGGCUAAUAUUGAAGGCAAAGGGCGCAAAAGGCAGUGUGGACGGCGUACUGCGUGGUAUGCUUUCAGACGAUGUAAUAUACCAUUACAAUUUAGAGGGGCGCAAAGGGAAGGAAUCUCUACUAAAUCUAAUUGCGUAGGGUUAGUUUUUGAUAUAUUUGAUGACAAGGACAAAUACACAAUCUGUGAGGAGCUCCGGAGAUUUGUGGCCUUAAGCCUCAAUCGCUUUAAACAAAAAAACAUAAACCUAAGGCUAAAUUAAUAUAAAUUUUCUUGUAUAUAUUAGUUGUACGCUGUACAUAUUGGUUCUAAGUUGUAUAUAUAUUAGUUUUAACUUGUAUGUUCUAGUUUUAAGUUUUACGUAUUAGUUUUAAAUUAUAAGUUGUACAUAUUAGUUUUAAGUUGAAGUUUUUAGUUUUACUUUUAUAAAUACAAAUUUUAAGAAUUAUAAUCUUUAUGCUGAGAUAAACUUAAUGUUGUAUUAUUUUUCGGCCGAAUGUAUUAA